GUGCCAGCCGCCGCGGUAAUACGAAGGGUGCAAGCGUUAAUCGGAAUUACUGGGCGUAAAGCGCGCGUAGGUGGUUUGUUAAGUUGAAUGUGAAAGCCCCGGGCUCAACCUGGGAACUGCAUCCAAAACUGGCAAGCUAGAGUAUGGCAGAGGGUGGUGGAAUUUCCUGUGUAGCGGUGAAAUGCGUAGAUAUAGGAAGGAACACCAGUGGCGAAGGCGACCACCUGGGCUAAUACUGACACUGAGGUGCGAAAGCGUGGGGAGCAAACAGGAUUAGAUACCCUAGAGUCC
rnacentral:rRNA from 1 species